GGAAGGAUCAUUAUUGAAUGAACUUGGUGUGGUUGUUGCUGGCCCUCUUGGGGGCAUGUGCACACCCACCAUCCUCAUCUCUCCACCUGUGCACCUCUUGUAGACCUGGAUUGACUUUCCGAGGCAACUCGGUCGGGAAGAUUGGUGCGCUCUGUGAGCCAGCUUUCUUUGCAUAUCCAGGCCUAUGUUUUUCAAUUACCCCUAUAGAAUGUAACAGAAUGUAUCAUUGGGCCUUGUGCCUAUAAACUUUAUACAACUUUCAGCAACGGAUCUCUUGGCUCUCGCAUCGAUGAAGAACGCAGCGAAAUGCGAUAAGUAAUGUGAAUUGCAGAAUUCAGUGAAUCAUCGAAUCUUUGAACGCACCUUGCGCUCCUUGGUAUUCCGAGGAGCAUGCCUGUUUGAGUGUCAUUAAAUUCUCAACCUUAUUAACUUUUGUUGAUAAUGGAUGGAUGUGGGGGUAUCUUUUGCUGGCUUCUUUACAGAGAUCAGCUCCCCUUAAAUGCAUUAGCUGGUGCCCCGCGUGGACCAUCUAUUGGUGUGAUAAUUAUCUACGCCGUGGAUGUCUGCAAUCAUAUGGGUUUUGCACUGCUUCUAACUGUCUGUUCAUUUGGACAAUACAUGACAAUUUGACCUCAAAUCAGGUAGGACUACCCGCUGAACUUAAGCAUAUCAAUA
rnacentral:sRNA from 1 species